AUUGUAUAUUUCUACAUAAAUUAGAUGCACGACGAGUUUAAUUUGUUUUUAGUUUAAUUUUUUUUAUAUAUUACUUUUUCCCCAUAUCUUAUACUAUUGAAAUUGAGUAUUGACAGAUCGUCUACUGCCUAUGGGUAAGCCUAACAAAUUGUAUUUUGCGCUGUAACAGAUCAUGCAGGUUAGUAACGUGUAUUUAAUGAACUCCCGAAAACUUCCGAAUUAAAAGUAAAUUUUCCUUAAGAGGGUAUACAUCGGUAAUUGUGUAUCUAGAUCUUUUAUAGCACACAUAUACAGCAAAUAUUCCAUGAAAGGAUAUGAACGUAAAAGGGACGUACUCUUUGGGGCGAAGGACCCAGGUUCGUAACCGGAAGUUCAACUUUCGAUACAAAUAAACAAAAAUCUUGGAAAUCUUGAACAGAGACAAUACCCGGAGUUAAGAAGCAGUAGCCAAAAGAAAUCAUUGCUAAAUGUUAGCUUGCUGGUGGAUUUAAGCAAAUAUUAUCAUUAUCUGUAUAUAUCCGGCUAUAAAUUUUGCGUGUACCUACACAUUUGUGUACUAAAAAUUGUCCAGAGUCGUUCAUCACAGUGUCAUGUAUACAUUUUUUAGUUGCUACUACUCUCUAGCCUAGACUAGGUCGAUAUGGUAUGAAUAGUUCAGUUAAAUCAAGAAUUUAGCCAUAUGUAAACAGGCCACAGCUUGAAUUAUUGUUGUAAUAACUCAAUUAUAUACUAAUAUUACACUACAUGUAUGUUACUAUCAACUGACUAUGGAUUUAAGUUUAAUAAAUAUAUAAAUCUGUAUACAUUGUGUAUAUACUAAUUUUGAAUUAAUUUUUUUUAAAUUAUUGUAACUAUUAUCGACACAACUACAUGUAUGAGUAUACAUAAUUUUUAAUUGUUAUUGUUUCUUUGUACAGUCAUUUGGUUUUCUUAUGUCAAUGCUAUGUAGAAUGGUGGAACUAAUAUUUACUUUUUGUUGAGUUGUAGUAGCACAAUGUUGGGUAGAUCAGUUAGAGACCUUGCUCGGCCACAGAACACGGCCAAGGGUUGUAACAGUUGGACCAGAGACUUGGACAACAAGGACACACUAGUUUUUACAGAUGGGUUACCAGACUGGACUGGAUUCACGACUCAUCACGCCACUAACUCAACUCCUUUGGUCACCUACAUUUGUACAUUGAAUCAUCAUCAGAUGUUAUUUAUGCCAACCCCUAGAGCUUUGCAUUGGUAUGAUCCAGUUGAGAAUUUUUCAGGUAAUCGUCAGAUUUACUAGUUAAAAGCAGUAUAUUACUUUUAAGUUAAACCCCCGCAUGUACAAAAUGUACAUGUGAUUACAACAUAUAACAAACAUAUUUAUAUAGAUUAAGAC
rnacentral:lncRNA from 1 species